rnacentral:rRNA from 1 species
CAGCACCGCGGUAAUACGGAGGGUGCAAGCGUUAAUCGGAAUUACUGGGCGUAAAGCGCACGCAGGCGGUCUGACAAGUCAGAUGUGAAAUCCCCGGGCUUAACCUGGGAACUGCAUUUGAAACUGUCAGGCUGGAGUCUUGUAGAGGGGGGUAGAAUUCCAGGUGUAGCGGUGAAAUGCGUAGAGAUCUGGAGGAAUACCGGUGGCGAAGGCGGCCCCCUGGACAAAGACUGACGCUCAGGUGCGAAAGCGUGGGGAGCAAACAGGAUUAGAUACCCCAGUAGUCCCUGUCUCUUAUACA